GCCCUCGGUGGCUCAGCUGGAUAGAGCGUCUGCCAUGUAAGCAGGAGAUCACGGGUUCGAGCCCCGGUCGGGGCA
rnacentral:tRNA from 1 species